rnacentral:lncRNA from 1 species
AAGUGCUUGAAGGCAGUAUGCUUGGUAAAAGUCAUCGCCAUUCUCUAAUCUUGAGUACCCAGGGACACGAUACACUGCGGAAGGCUGCAGGGACCUCUGCCCAGGAAAGCCAGAACAAGCCCUGUGAAAAACAAGCUGCUGUCCCUGCUAGAGGCAUCCUGCAAUCCAUGGAUGUUUAUCACCAAGCCAUUGUUAACAUGAGGUGGUUUCCAAAAGGAAAAGCUUUGGGAGAUAGAAGUCCUCGUUUUGACCUCUGCCCUCCUUGUACACCAGGAGCCAGAAAAACUUCAUCUCUUUUACAAGAAACAUUGAGAUUCCUGUAAAAUUAAGAAAUCACACAAUUUGAUGGUCUACAUUAUCUAAAGCAAAUGAGACUUCUAUUUGGAACAAAGACUACCUUGUUGGGAAAUGAGUCUGCAAGUUAAAGUGUUUUCUGGGUAAUGAAACAUUGUCCUUCACAGGAGCUAAAAAGAAAACUACAACUCAACAUAGACAAGCAAAGUUCACAGGAAAUCUGACCCUGUGACAAUAAUUUUAAGGAACAAGAAGGCAUGAGUCACAAUCCAAAAUAGCAAGAAUAAAGCAUAGGAUUCUGCUUAUGCCAAAAUAUUCCUCUGUGAUUUAAACAGAGGCAGGGACUUUGUUUCAACCAUAGUGGAUAUGGGAGGGAGAACGUCUACUGUAAGUUGGGAUGUCUACAGAAGAAAUGGAUAUCCAAGACACAAAUAACUAUUUUUAAACAAGUACAUAAAAGACAGGGAUGUGUCUAUUAAAUAAAUUCUUAUCAUUUUCUACCCUUAGAAAAGUUUUACUUAAUCAAUAAUUUAUGCUAAUGUGGAAUUAUUCUUAGAAAAUUAAAAUUCAACCUUAUGAAAUAAUCCACUGAAAUCUUCCAAGUUAAGAUUACACGUAAUACAAAAACAUUCUUACUAACUACAAUUACAGAAGGAAAAUGGAGUCAUUUUACCAGCUCUUCGAGCUAUAAAAAGUACAUUUGAUAGAUUCUCCCUGCCCUGUAUUAUUUUCAAUCAUCACAAUGGCUACUAUUUUUCAGAGGCUUGUCAUUUGCUGAGAACUGAGUUAAGACCUUUACAUUAUUUCAUUUAAUUCCUAUAAUAACCCUAAGAGGAAUAUACUAUCAUUAUUUUCAUUUUACACAAAAGGGAACUACGGAUUAGAGAGGUUAAAAUCUUGCACAACAUCACUCAACUAGUAUGUGGAGGAAUCAAGACUCAAAAUAUGAUUAACCAAUGUUAUUGACUGAAAGGAUUAUUCCCUCAUUGUUCUUUCUACGUAGACCCAAACAUCUAAGUUCCACAAUGGCUGGAAUCAGGGUAGACAAAAGUACAAUGACAAAAGACACUGUAUUACUGAGUUCUGAAAAUAAAGAUUCAAGGCCCUUCUAAAAGUGACAUCUUAAUAAACUGCUCCAAGAAUUGGCUUUUCUUGGGGACAUGCAAAGAGCUCACUUUUUGGCACUGUGAUUUACAGAUAAGUAGCCUCAUUGUCAGGCUGUGGCAGCCAUCACAAUGAGUCAAAAACACAGGCUCAAAAAUGUAUACUUCUCCAAAAACAGAGUCAGAAUUCACACUCACGGUAAAAAAUUAUAAACAUCCUGCACCACCCAGUGACCCUGAGCCAACUUGGUGAUCAAAGGUGAUUCUGAAUUUAGUAGGAACCAAGAAGUAAACUCUAUUAAAUACUAUAAUUUCCUUAGUCCAUCUGUUACAUGCAAAUACUAAUAGUUUCCAGGUUGAUUGUUGAAAACCAAAAUGAAAAUUUGAAGAAGUAGAGGCAAGGGACAUAUAAUGAAUGUGUCUUCAUCAUAAAGAUCUUCAAUUCAGCCUGAUCUAUGACAAUGAUCAUAGAUCAUUAUAUUGAGAUAUAAUUCACAUACCAUAAAUUCACCCAUUUAAAGAGUACAAUUCAAUGGUUGUUAGCAUAUUCUCAGAGCUGCACAUCCAUUACCACAAUCAAUUGUUGAAAUUUUCACCACUCCAAAAAGAAACCCCAUACCCUUUAGCAGUCACCUCCCAUUCUCCACAUGCCUUCAGCCCUAGGCAAGCCCUAGGCAGUCUGCAUUCCAUCUAUAUAGAUUUGCCUAUUCUGGAUAUUUUAUAUAAAUGGAAUCAUAUAUGUAGUAUUUUGUGGCAGGCUUCUUUUACUUAGCACAGUGUUUUCAAAGUUCACCUAUGUGUUGCAGCAGGUAUCACUAUUUCAUUUAUUUUUAUAGCUGAAUAACAUUCUAUUGUAUGGAUAUGCCAGAUUUUGUUUGUCCACUCAUAGGUGAUGAACAUUUCAGUUGUUUCCACCUUUUGGCUAUUAGGAAUAAUGCUGUAAUAAACUUUUUGUGUACAA